GAAAUGCAAUUGGGAAAGAAUUUCAAGAAAAUAAGGAUAAAGGGCUAGGAGGGCUGACAGGAGGGCAAGAAGGAGGGAGGAAAGGAAGGGUUUUGGGUUUUUAAUUCCCUGGCGAGGCUGCUGGCGUCCGCGCCCUUAACGCCACAGCCUUCCAAGUUGAGGCGAAAGCCACCUCCUCGGGCCUGCGUCGCAUCCAACUUACUCCAAGUUUUCUGGUGACUCCUACAGGGCCCCUUUCCGUCCCCGCCCCCCCCCCCCCCCCCUUAGAGAGAUUGACAGUCGCGUGGAGGAGGCUUUUCCAGGCACAGCCUUUCUCAUGGUAAUCAGCCCCCAGCAUCACCUCCCGGCUGCGGCCGCUCCCGCUCCUUGCGCAGCUCGCGGACCCCAGGGACCGGAAACGGGGCGGCGGGCGGGGAGCAAGCUAGCUAGCGACCCAGGCUCAACUCCGAAUGGAUUGGAUUGCAAGUUUGCACGUGAGAAAACCGUUUGGCUUGGCUUGGACCCCUGCCGCCCCCCCCCCACCCCCUCCACACACACCCCAAUCCAGGGGUCUCCUUUAUCACCCUUUGCUUGCAACUCUAAAAGAAGUUGCCCACCUCCUGCGUAACAACCCAGGGUUGAAAUAAUUCCUCUAGAUGAAAGAUCAAUUCCGUUUUCAAAACGAGAAUAGUUUCCUUUUUUUAAAUUUUCUCCACAUGGUACAAAAUAAACAGAAUUUGCUUUAAAAAAAAAAAUCAUUAGCUGUGGCCAAAUUCGAAUUCCUUCUACAGCCUGUGUGUUCAAGGGCAGAAACAUUGUAUCUCUUUGGGCUUCUGGGCCGGCAAGCGGAGCUGGGGGCUUGGGGGGUUGGAGGGGGGGGGGAAUCUGCUGUGAAAGUUGAGGAAAUUGACAGACUGUGAGGUGAAGAGGGGGACCGUCACCAGGUCCUGGCUGAAGGAAAUUGGAAAACAAAAGUGCAUCUUCUUACCCUGACUGGGUGGAGGGAAUCCUGAGGGAGGCAGUUUAUUUUACUCAAAGAAACCCUAAAGAAUUGUUUUUCCUCCCUCCAGUGUCGAUUGCAAUAUUAUUUCAUAUUUACAUGUAUCUGUUGUUUUAAUCCCCUUCGUCUGCGCUAAUCUCGAAAUGGAUUAUUAAUGGGGAAGAAAGAUCGGGAAGGAACGAUUCAUUUGCAGGACUUGUUUUGCUGUGUGAGGAGACGAAAGCACCAGUCCUCUCUCGACUUUUCCCUGCGCCCAGCCCUCCUGCAUCCCGCUGAUCCCACGAUCACCAUUGUCCCCGACCUGGCCUUCGGACUCAGGGAGUGUUCGGAACAAAUUUAUAUUCGGCUUCCUCCCGUCUCCCCGCCAGUGCGUCGGUGGGAACUCUCGGUCAAAUGAGGAGGGGAGUGCCAGGGGCGUGCCAGGCAGGGGCGGGGGGCAACCUGCCCGCGCGCUCACCCCUCGCAGAGACCCUUCCCUUGCCCUCAUCCCAACAUACACCUUAAUGGGAACCUGAAAGAUUGCUUUUUUACCCCAAACCAAAUACUUGAAAGUCGGAACUCCCAGUGCUAAGUGUUGGGGCUGCCUCCUGCCACUUGAACAAUUACUGAGCCCACAGUAAUCAGAUGAUUAGGUGUUUUUAAUGGAAAUACUUCAGUCUUUUUUUUUUUUAAGUCAGAUCCUAAGUAACCUGACACUAAUAUACAUAAUAAAGACAAGUGAUUUGUUAGCCCUUCUCUGAGAUCCUUUGACCUGAGGUUUUUGCCUGUGACUGUGUGUCUGAGACUGUAACCCUCCAAGGACUACCUGGGCUCCAGCAGUGGGGUCUUGCCUGGAAUCACUCCUUUGCAGUGGGAUCCUUCUUCCACGGGAAUGGGAGAGGAGAGGCUGAAGAGCAAACUUCUAGAGAAAGCUGGAUUCCAUUUUUUUUU